AUGAAGCUAAGGUAAUAGUAUCUUCGAGACAGUUAAAAUUGAAUAAUUUUGUAACAUCAUUGAAAAUAUUUACUAAUUAUACGCUUCAAUUGACUAAAAAUAACAAAAUAACACAUAAUAUUAUGUUUACCACAGAUGAAUCAGUUCCAAACAAAGUUAGAAAUUUACAAGUUAUUACUUCAACACCUAGUAAACUUAGUGUUGCCUGGGAAGCACCUUCCCCUGCUUUGGGAAUCAUUACCUAUUAUGUGGUCACAUGGAUGUUCCAUAUUCCAUGAUAGGAAUACAAAUAACACAUCAAAUAUCCAAUUCAAAAAUGUGACAAUAACUGCAAUGGAAUUAGAUGAUCUACAACCAUAUUCAAUUUAUAAUAUAUCAAUAUCAGCAGUUGCCAAGAAAGGUCAAGGAGACCUUGAGACUGUUAUAGGAUACACAGAUGCAACUAAAACAAUUGACAUAAAUUCUUUUAAUUAUAAAAUUACUUCUUUGGAAACUUUGAUACUAAUAGGUUUAAUUGUCGAGUGUGAAAAUUGGAAUGGCCCAAUCUAUCUGAAUGCAUAUGCUAGCUGCAAGAGUGAGUGGUGUGAUGGAGAAGAGGUGAAUGGGACUCAAUACAUGCAAUACAAUGACAUUGCUACAAUUGAAAAUUUACUUCCAUAUACAAAUUACAAAUUAGAAGUAAAUAUAUUUCGGAAUAAACUGGACGCAAUUAAUAAUUCUAUCAAAUUUUUGUCAACUGCUGUGAUGACAUCAUCAAGAGUACCAAAACAAAUACCAUUCGCGGAAGUGUAUAGCUUAUCUGAAACAAGUUUAUCAUUGAGAUGGAGUCCACCUUAUCCACCAACUGGAAUACUGGAUUCAUUUGCAAUAAAAUAUUAUUACAUUUUAGGAAGACAUAGCACGGUACAAACCAAUUAUGAUUCUUUGAAUCCAUGUAAAGUAUGGCCAAAUAUUUAUUGCACUACAUUAACUAAUCUUACGACAGACAAGAACUACAUUAUAUCAAUUACUGCGCGUAAUCAGAAUAUAUCUC